GAUGAACGCUAGCGAUAGGCUUAACACAUGCAAGUCGAGGGGCAGCAUGGUCUUAGCUUGCUAAGACUGAUGGCGACCGGCGCACGGGUGCGUAACGCGUAUGCAACUUGCCUCACAGAGGGGGAUAACCCGUCGAAAGACGGACUAAUACCGCGUACACUCUAUUUUGGGCAUCCAAGGUAGAGGAAAUGAAAUUCGCUGUGAGAUAGGCAUGCGUCCCAUUAGCUAGUUGGUGAGGUAACGGCUGACCAAGGCGACGAUGGGUAGGGGAACUGAGAGGUUGAGCCCUCACAGUGGUACUGAGACAAGGACCAGACUCCUACGGGAGGCAGCAGUGAGGAAUAUUGGUCAAUGGGCGAGAGCCUGAACCAGCCAAGUCGCGUGAAGGAUGACUGUCUUAUGGAUUGUAAACUUCUUUUGUAGGGGAAUAAAGAGGGGCACGUGUGCCCCAGUGAAUGUACCCUACGAAUAAGCAGCGGCUAACUCCGUG
rnacentral:rRNA from 1 species